CCUACGGGAGGCAGCAGUGGGGAAUAUUGGGCAAUGGGCGAAAGCCUGACCCAGCAACGCCGCGUGAAGUCCUCCUUCUUUCGGUUUUUCCCCUUCUUUUGACAGGGAAGAGCAGAAGACGGUACCUGUCGAAUAAGCCACGGCUAACUACGUGCCAGCAGCCGCGGUAAUACGUAGGUGGCAAGCGUUGUCCGGAUUUACUGGGUGUAAAGGGCGUGUAGCCGGGCUGACAAGUCAGAUGUGAAAUCCGGGGGCUCAACCCCCGAACUGCAUUUGAAACUGUUGGUCUUGAGUCUCGGAGAGGCGGGCGGAAUUCCUAGUGUAGCGGUGAAAUGCGUAGAUAUUAGGAGGAACACCAGUGGCGAAGGCGGCCUGCUGGACGACAACUGACGGUGAGGCGCGAAAGCGUGGGGAGCAAACAGGAUUAGAUACCCGAGUAGUC
rnacentral:rRNA from 1 species